AUAAAAUAAAUAGGCAUUGCAUAGAAAUAUAAGUGGAAAUAUUUUGAUGUUCCUUUGUUCUGUGUGUUUUACCUCUUAUCUCUGUCAUUUCCUGUUUCUGUCUCCUGUUUUCUGUCUACACAAAACUGCUGUAGGCCAGUGUUACGUGGUGGGUCAGCUGCUACCACUUCCUCUAACCCUCAUCAUGACAACACCAGGUACGGUCUUUCCAACAUGGAUACCACACUUGAGGGAACACCAGACGACAUGACUGUUGUAGAUGCUGCUUCCUUAAGAAGGCAGAUAAUCAAACUUAAUCGGCGUCUCCAGCUUCUGGAAGAAGAAAACAAAGAGCGUGCUAAAAGGGAAAUGAUCAUGUAUUCAAUUACUGUAGCUUUCUGGCUACUCAACAGCUGGCUUUGGUUUCGGCGCUAGACACAGCUCUGAAAGAUUUAGUCGAUCAAAAUACCAACAAAAUUUGCAAAACUCUGUUUCUGUUUCUGAAUUGUAUGCUGUUUUAUAAUUCAUACACUGGAAACUUCCACCACAGAAAAAAGCCUAUAGAAUUGCAGUGUUAAAGGGACACCUUGUUGUUCAGUUAUACUGUAUUUAAUAGAUUUGCAUUGUGAAUACUUGCAGUAUCCUCCUUUGCAUGCUUCAGUGUAAAUAUGGAUCAGCUGAUUUUGAAAUGAAGCUUGCUUUGUGCAAUGUAAGGAGAGUAUCCGACAGGAAUAAUCACUGGAUUUUUUUGUUGUGGUGGUUGGGAGAGAACAAAUCAAAUUGGGCUUGGGGAAAAAUAUCAACACAAAGGAAUAAAAACUAGGUUUUAUUGAUCUGUUGUUAGAUGCAAGUGAACAUCAUUGCACUAGUUCUCCUUCAGUCUAACUUGUAUCAAAGGUGUGCCAUAUUCAAGGAGUGUGUCUUGUUUCACGAGUGUGUUCCUAGUUUAAGGCUGUGUUCAGGUCAGAUAAUAAAAGGUCUCUGCUAACAUGCAGACUGUCCAGAGGUGUGUAAUAUGUUUGUUUCUUUUUAUUUUAGCUUUAAUUUUGCAGAUGUUUUUUCUAUAAAAUACAUUUUUAAGCGAG